rnacentral:rRNA from 1 species
UACGUAGGCAGCGAGCGUUGUUCGGAGUUACUGGGCGUAAAGCGUGCGUAGGCGGUGUCUUAAGUUUGUUGUGAAAUCUCCCGGCUUAACCGGGAGGGUGCGGCGAAUACUGAGAUGCUGGAGUGCCGGAGAGGUAAGCGGAAUUCCUGGUGUAGCGGUGAAAUGCGUAGAUAUCUGGAGGAACACCGGUGGCGAAGGCGGCAUCCUGGACCGGCAUUGACGCUGAGGCGCGAAAGCCAGGGGAGCAAACGGG